rnacentral:rRNA from 1 species
UUGCACGCUGGCGGCAUGCCUUACACAUGCAAGUCGAACGGCAGCACGGGUGCUUGCACCUGGUGGCGAGUGGCGAACGGGUGAGUAAUACAUCGGAACAUGUCCUGUAGUGGGGGAUAGCCCGGCGAAAGCCGGAUUAAUACCGCAUACGAUCCACGGAUGAAAGCGGGGGACCUUCGGGCCUCGCGCUAUAGGGUUGGCCGAUGGCUGAUUAGCUAGUUGGUGGGGUAAAGGCCUACCAAGGCGACGAUCAGUAGCUGGUCUGAGAGGACGACCAGCCACACUGGGACUGAGACACGGCCCAGACUCCUACGGGAGGCAGCAGUGGGGAAUUUUGGACAAUGGGCGAAAGCCUGAUCCAGCAAUGCCGCGUGUGUGAAGAAGGCCUUCGGGUUGUAAAGCACUUUUGUCCGGAAAGAAAUCCUUGACUCUAAUACAGUCGGGGGAUGACGGUACCGGAAGAAUAAGCACCGGCUAACUACGUG